rnacentral:lncRNA from 1 species
CACCGGCCGGGGACCCGGAGCUGGCCCGGGAUAGACAGUUCACUUCUAUGUUGCCUCCUCUUCAGUUUAUCAACGUGCGAAUGAGUGAAUCCAACAGGUCCUCGGAGCUGCUGGUCUCCCGCCUCUCCGUGGUGUCCCUGGUCACCUCCCUAUCGCCAGGUGUGCGCCCUCUCCCCGCCUGCGACCUUCCCAGAAGGUGGAUGGGUCGCUGCUGUGCUUCAAGGCCUGCCAGCCUGCGGAGAAUCUGGGGACCUGUGACCUAGUCCCUCCUCCACCCCCGGGCCAGCGGCCUCCCGCUCCUCCUCGGUGUCCAGAAUUACAGCUGGAUAUCCAGGAGUCUACCUUGAGAAUUCAAAGGGAUAUCCAUGACAAUGUGAGGAGUUCCAUUAGCGAUUCCUGUCCUGAUUUCAGAGCUCUUUGAUGCUUCCAAACCUGAGAGAGAGA